rnacentral:rRNA from 1 species
UAGCGGAGGAAAAGAAACCAACAGGGAUUGCCUCAGUAGCGGCGAGUGAAGCGGCAAAAGCUCAAAUUUGAAAUCUGGCGUCUUUGGCGUCCGAGUUGUAAUUUGAAGAAGGUAUCUUUGGGCCCGGCUCUUGUCUAUGUUCCUUGGAACAGGACGUCACAGAGGGUGAGAAUCCCGUGCGAUGAGAUGACCCGGGUCUGUGUAAAGUUCCUUCGACGAGUCGAGUUGUUUGGGAAUGCAGCUCUAAGUGGGUGGUAAAUUCCAUCUAAAGCUAAAUAUUGGCGAGAGACCGAUAGCGAACAAGUACAGUGAUGGAAAGAUGAAAAGAACUUUGAAAAGAGAGUGAAAAAGUACGUGAAAUUGUUGAAAGGGAAGGGCUUGAGAUCAGACUUGGUAUUUUGCAUGUUGCUCUCUCGGGGGCGGCCGCUGCGGUUUACCGGGCCAGCAUCGGUUUGGAGCGGCAGGAUAAUGGCGGAGGAAUGUGGCACGGCUUCUGCUGUGUGUUAUAGCCUCUGACGAUACUGCCAGCCUAGACCGAGGACUGCGGUUUUUACCUAGGA